rnacentral:rRNA from 1 species
GACGAACGCUGGCGGCGCGCCUAACACAUGCAAGUCGAACGAGCGAGAGAGAGCUUGCUUUCUCGAGCGAGUGGCGAACGGGUGAGUAACGCGUGAGGAACCUGCCUCAAAGAGGGGGACAACAGUUGGAAACGACUGCUAAUACCGCAUAAGCCCACGGUGCCGCAUGGCACAGAGGGAAAAGGAGCAAUCCGCUUUGAGAUGGCCUCGCGUCCGAUUAGCUAGUUGGUGAGGUAAUGGCCCACCAAGGCGACGAUCGGUAGCCGGACUGAGAGGUUGAACGGCCACAUUGGGACUGAGACACGGCCCAGACUCCUACGGGAAGCAGCAGUGGGGAAUAUUGCACAAUGGGGGAAACCCUGAUGCAGCGACGCCGCGUGGAGGAAGAAGGUCUUCGGAUUGUAAACUCCUGUUGUUGGGGAAGAUAAUGACGGUACCCAACAAGGAAGUGACGGCUAACUACGUA